AGAGAUUGAGUUUGAUCAUGGCUCAGAUUGAACGCUGGCGGCAGGCCUAACACAUGCAAGUCGAGCGGUAGCACAGAGAGCUUGCUCUCGGGUGACGAGCGGCGGACGGGUGAGUAAUGUCUGGGAAACUGCCUGAUGGAGGGGGAUAACUACUGGAAACGGUAGCUAAUACCGCAUAAUGUCGCAAGACCAAAGUGGGGGACCUUCGGGCCUCAUGCCAUCAGAUGUGCCCAGAUGGGAUUAGCUAGUAGGUGGGGUAACGGCUCACCUAGGCGACGAUCCCUAGCUGGUCUGAGAGGAUGACCAGCCACACUGGAACUGAGACACGGUCCAGACUCCUACGGGAGGCAGCAGUGGGGAAUAUUGCACAAUGGGCGCAAGCCUGAUGCAGCCAUGCCGCGUGUGUGAAGAAGGCCUUCGGGUUGUAAAGCACUUUCAGCGGGGAGGAAGGCGUUAAGGUUAAUAACCUUGGCGAUUGACGUUACCCGCAGAAGAAGCACCGGCUAACUCCGUGCCAGCAGCCGCGGUAAUACGGAGGGUGCAAGCGUUAAUCGGAAUUACUGGGCGUAAAGCGCACGCAGGCGGUCUGUCAAGUCGGAUGUGAAAUCCCCGGGCUCAACCUGGGAACUGCAUUCGAAACUGGCAGGCUAGAGUCUUGUAGAGGGGGGUAGAAUUCCAGGUGUAGCGGUGAAAUGCGUAGAGAUCUGGAGGAAUACCGGUGGCGAAGGCGGCCCCCUGGACAAAGACUGACGCUCAGGUGCGAAAGCGUGGGGAGCAAACAGGAUUAGAUACCCUGGUAGUCCACGCCGUAAACGAUGUCGAUUUGGAGGUUGUGCCCUUGAGGCGUGGCUUCCGGAGCUAACGCGUUAAAUCGACCGCCUGGGGAGUACGGCCGCAAGGUUAAAACUCAAAUGAAUUGACGGGGGCCCGCACAAGCGGUGGAGCAUGUGGUUUAAUUCGAUGCAACGCGAAGAACCUUACCUGGUCUUGACAUCCACAGAACUUUCCAGAGAUGGAUUGGUGCCUUCGGGAACUGUGAGACAGGUGCUGCAUGGCUGUCGUCAGCUCGUGUUGUGAAAUGUUGGGUUAAGUCCCGCAACGAGCGCAACCCUUAUCCUUUGUUGCCAGCGGUUAGGCCGGGAACUCAAAGGAGACUGCCAGUGAUAAACUGGAGGAAGGUGGGGAUGACGUCAAGUCAUCAUGGCCCUUACGACCAGGGCUACACACGUGCUACAAUGGCAUAUACAAAGAGAAGCGACCUCGCGAGAGCAAGCGGACCUCAUAAAGUAUGUCGUAGUCCGGAUUGGAGUCUGCAACUCGACUCCAUGAAGUCGGAAUCGCUAGUAAUCGUAGAUCAGAAUGCUACGGUGAAUACGUUCCCGGGCCUUGUACACACCGCCCGUCACACCAUGGGAGUGGGUUGCAAAAGAAGUAGGUAGCUUAACCUUCGGGAGGGCGCUUACCACUUUGUGAUUCAUGACUGGGGUGAAGUCGUAACAAGGUAACCGUAA
rnacentral:rRNA from 1 species